rnacentral:rRNA from 1 species
CAGGUCAGCAUACUGCCGUGAAUACGUUCCCGGGCCUUGUACACACCGCCCGUCCACGCCAUGAGAGUUGGGAAUACCCGAAGCCUGUGAGCUAACUUAUAGAGGCAGCAGUCGAAGGUAGAAUCAAUGAUUGGGGUGAAGUCGUAACAAGGUAUC